GCACCCUUCGGGGUUGCUUACAUAAUACUUGGAACGAUACAGAGAAGAUUAGCAUGGCCCCUGCACAAGGAUGACACGCUUAAUCAGAGUGGAAGAGCUUCGGCUCUCAAUAUUUAU
rfam:Sistotremastrum niveocremeum HHB9708 unplaced genomic scaffold SISNIscaffold_37, whole genome shotgun sequence.